AAUGAACGCUGGCGGUAGGCCUAACACAUGCAAGUCGAACGGCAGCACAGUAAGAGCUUGCUCUUACGGGUGGCGAGUGGCGGACGUGUGAGGAAUACAUCGGAAUCUACUUUUUCGUGGGGGAUAACGUAGGGAAACUUACUCUAAUACCGCAUACGACCUACGGGUGAAAGCAGGGGAUCUUCGGACCUUGCGCGAUUGAAUGAGCCGAUGUCGGAUUAGCUAGUUGGCGGGGUAAAGGCCCACCAAGGCGACGAUCCGUAGCUGGUCUGAGAGGAUGAUCAGCCACACUGGAACUGAGACACGGUCCAGACUCCUACGGGAGGCAGCAGUGGGGAAUAUUGGACAAUGGGCGCAAGCCUGAUCCAGCCAUACCGCGUGGGUGAAGAAGGCCUUCGGGUUGUAAAGCCCUUUUGUUGGGAAAGAAAAGCAGCAGGUUAAUACCCCGCUGUUCUGACGGUACCCAAAGAAUAAGCACCGGCUAACUUCGUG
rnacentral:rRNA from 1 species